rnacentral:rRNA from 1 species
GUAAUANUAGGGGGCGAGCGUNUCCGGAUCAUUGGCGUAAAGGUUNGUAGGCNGUAAUGCGUUUCAGAUGUGNAAUNUUGUGGNUUAACCACAUUAAGCAUCUGAAACUGCAUAACUUGAGUGAAGGAGANGUAAGUGGAAUUCCUAGUGUAGCGGUGAAAUGCGUAGAUAUUAGGAGGAAUACCAGUAGCGAAGGCGACUUACUGGCCUUUAACUGACGCUGAGGAACGAAAGCGUGGGUAGCAAACAGGAUUAGAUACCCUGGUAGUCCACGCCGUAAACGAUGAGUGCUAGGUGUCGGGAGUCAAAUCUCGGUGCCGCAGUUAACGCAAUAAGCACUCCGCCUGGGGAGUACGUACGCAAGUAUGAAACUCAAAGGAAUUGACGGGGACCCGCACAAGCAGCGGAGCAUGUGGUUUAAUUCG